GACGAACGCUGGCGGCGUGCUUAACACAUGCAAGUCGAACGGAGCACCUUUGAAAGAGACUUCGGUCAAUGGAUGAGACUGCUUAGUGGCGGACGGGUGAGUAACGCGUGAGGAACCUGCCUUUCACAGGGGGAUAACAGUUAGAAAUGACUGCUAAUACCGCAUAAGCGCACGUCAUCGCAUGAUGGUGUGUGAAAAACUCCGGUGGUAUGAGAUGGACCCGCGUCUGAUUAGGUAGUUGGUGAGAUAACAGCCCACCAAGCCGACGAUCGGUAGCCGGACUGAGAGGUUGAUCGGCCACAUUGGGACUGAGACACGGCCCAG
rnacentral:rRNA from 1 species